UACAGAGGUCCCAAGCGUUGUUCGGAUUCACUGGGCGUAAAGGGUGCGUAGGCGGUCAGGUAAGUCUAAUGUGAAAUCUCCGGGCUUAACCCGGAAAUGGCAUCGGAUACUAUCUGGCUAGAGGAUUGGAGGGGGGACUGGAAUUCUCGGUGUAGCAGUGAAAUGCGUAGAUAUCGAGAGGAACACCAGUGGCGAAGGCGAGUCCCUGGACAAUACCUGACGCUGAGGCACGAAAGCUAGGGGAG
rnacentral:rRNA from 1 species